rnacentral:rRNA from 1 species
GUCGAGCGGUAGGGAAGGAGCUUGCUUCUUCUUGAGAGCGGCGGACGGGUGAGUAAUGCCUAGGAAUCUGCCUGGUAGUGGGGGACAACGUUUCGAAAGGAACGCUAAUACCGCAUACGUCCUACGGGAGAAAGUGGGGGAUCUUCGGACCUCACGCUAUCAGAUGAGCCUAGGUCGGAUUAGCUUGUAGGUGAGGUAAUGGCUCACCUUGGCAACGAUCCGUAACUGGUCUGAGAGGAUGAUCAGUCACACUGGAACUGAGACACGGUCCAGACUCCUACGGGAGGCAGCAGUGGGGAAUAUUGGACAAUGGGCGAAAGCCUGAUCCAGCCAUGCCGCGUGUGUGAAGAAGGUCUUCGGAUUGUAAAGCACUUUAAGUUGGGAGGAAGGGUUGUAGCUUAAUACGCUGCAACUUUGACGUUACCAACAGAAUAAGCACCGGCUAACUCUGUGCCAGCAGCCGCGGUAAUACAGAGGGUGCAAGCGUUAAUCGGAAUUACUGGGCGUAAAGCGCGUGUAGGCGGCUUGAUAAGAUGGGUGUGAAAUCCCCGGGCUUAACCUGGGAACUGCAUCCAUAACUGUCUGGCUAGAGUACAGUAGAGGGUGGUGGAAUUUCCUGUGUAGCGGUGAAAUGCGUAGAUAUAGGA